rnacentral:rRNA from 1 species
GAGUUUGAUCAUGGCUCAGGAUGAACGCUAGCGACAGGCCUAACACAUGCAAGUCGAGGGGUAACAUGAGUAGCUUGCUACUUGAUGACGACCGGCGCACGGGUGAGUAACGCGUAUGCAACCUUUCUUCAACAGGAGAAUAGCCCCCGGAAACGGGGAUUAAUGCUCCAUGAUGCUAUUUUAUUGCAUGAUAGAAUAGUUAAAGCUGAGGCGGUUGAAGGUGGGCAUGCGUGACAUUAGCUUGUUGGCGGGGUAACGGCCCACCAAGGCGACGAUGUCUAGGGGUUCUGAGAGGAAGGUCCCCCACACUGGUACUGAGACACGGACCAGACUCCUACGGGAGGCAGCAGUGAGGAAUAUUGGUCAAUGGACGCAAGUCUGAACCAGCCAUGUCGCGUGCAGGAAGACGGCCCUACGGGUUGUAAACUGCUUUUGUACGGGAAGAAAAUGUCUUACGUGUAAGACUUUGCCGGUACCGUACGAAUAAGCAUCGGCUAACUCCGUGCCAGCAGCCGCGGUAA